rnacentral:lncRNA from 1 species
GAGGAGGAGGAGGAGGAAGAAGGAAGGUCAGACCACCACCACCACCACAAUAUUGACCUUUAACUCAUAAAGGUGGAGAGAGGUGGAGGUGAAACAGGAGAGAGACAGACAGACAGACAGACAGACAGACAGACAGACACACAAAACAGAAACAAACCCAAAAUCCUUCAAAUCUUACAACAAAACUUUAAAAAAAAAAAAUAAAAAUAAAAACACAACAAAAACGAAACAAUUUAAAACGCAGACGAAAAAAAAAUAUAUAAAAAACGAACGAAAAUAUAGAAAAAAAUAAACAUUUCCCACCUCUCUGGCAACACUGCUCGUCUCUGAUUGGUGGAAAGAGACGUAACUGUGCUCUGAUUGGCCAGCAUUGACGCCACUCUCUUCUCAUUGGCCAGUGGUGAUGUCAUUGAUUAACCUUCUCUCUUUGUUAUUGUUGUUGUUGCUGUGGUGGUGAUGGUGGUGGUAGUGGUGAUGGUGGUGGUGGUGGUGAGUUUUGCUGGAAAGUUCGCGAGUAGUGGGAAACGUUUACGAAAAUAAUGAAUAAAUAAACGUUCCCCAAAAAACGUUCUUAAUGAUGACCUUAGGAGCACGUGACCUUGGAAACACGUCUGAACACGCACCACGAGAGACUAGUGAGCAAGCGGUGAGUGUUAAGUGGGGCAUUUAAAUAACACGAGGCCUUGAUUGGCGUGAGAGUGGAAGAGUGUCAAGAGGAGGAAGAAGAGGAAGGAGUGGAUUAAGAGGUGGAAAAAAUUUUAUUGAUUUUUUUUGUGUGUUUGUGGAAGAGUAUCAAGAGGAGGAAGAGGACGAAGUGGAUUAAGAGGAAAAAUUAUUGGUUUUAUUUUGUGGAAGAGUGUCAAGAAGUGGA